AAAGGAAUAGACGGGGGCCCGCACAAGCAGUGGAGUAUGUGGUUUAAUUCGAUGCAACGCGAAGAACCUUACCAGGGCUUGACAUCCUCUGACGGCCGUAGAGAUACGGAAUUCCCUUCGGGGACAGAGAGACAGGUGGUGCAUGGUUGUCGUCAGCUCGUGUCGUGAGAUGUUAGGUUAAGUCCUGCAACGAGCGCAACCCCUAUCGCCGGUUGCCAUCAUUCAGUUGGGCACUCAGGCGAGACUGCCGUCGACAAGACGGAGGAAGGUGGGGACGAUGUCAAAUCAUCAUGCCCCUUAUGUCCUGGGCUACUCACGUACUACAAUGGCCGUGACAGCGGGCAGCGACGCCGCGAGGCGAAGCGAAUCCCAAAACGCGGUCCCAGUUCGGAUUGCAGGCUGCAACUCGCCUGCAUGAAGCAGGAAUUGCUAGUAAUGGCAGGUCAGCAUACUGCCGUGAAUACGUUCCCGGGCCUUGUACACACCGCCCGU
rnacentral:rRNA from 1 species